GGUUAAUUUGCAUAUUUUAGAAGUACAUUUUAGGGGUAAUACUAGAUCAUAUAGAUAAAUAUUGUCACCAACUACCAUAGCUAAUAUUCCUUUCCUUUCUGCAGGUCAAUUUUUCUGUGGAAAUAAAUAUUGUGAUAAAAAAGAAGGCUUAAAGAGUUGGGAAGUUAAUUUUGGUUAUAUUGAGCAUGGUGAGAAGAGAAAUGCACUUGUUAAAUUAAGGUUAUGCCAAGAAUGUUCCAUUAAAUUAAAUUUCCAUCACAGG
rnacentral:sRNA from 1 species